rnacentral:rRNA from 1 species
CCGUUUCAAAGGGGCACUAAUCGCCCCGUAUGGCGAAAGGGAAGCCGGUCAAUAUUCCGGCGCCUGGAUGUGGGUUUUACGCGGCAACGCAAUCGAAAGCGGAGACGAGGGCGGGGGCCCUGGGUAGAGUUCUCUUUUCUUCUUAACAGUCUAGUGACCCUGGAAUCGGUUUGUCCGGAGAUAGGGUUCAACGGCUGGAAGAGCCCAGCACUUCUGCUGGGUCCGGUGCGCUCCCGACCUCCCUUGAAAAUCCGCUGGAGGGAAUAAUUCUCACGCCAGAUCGUACUCAUAACCGCAGCAGGUCUCCAAGGUGAACAGCCUCUGGUUGAUAGAACAACGUAGAUAAGGGAAGUCGGCAAAAUAGAGCCGUAACUUCGGGAAAAGGAUUGGCUCUAAGGGUUGGGUACGUUGGGCUUCUAGCGGACGCCUCGGGAGCAGACGGCCACUAGCCGGGCAACCGGCCGGGGGCUGUCAGCAUCUGGGUGCGGAAGCUUUUAGCAGGCCUUUUGGCCGUCCGGCGUACAGUUAACAACCAACUUAGAACUGGUGCGGACAGGGGGAAUCUGACUGUCUAAUUAAAACAUAGCAUUGCGAUGGCCAGAAA